rnacentral:lncRNA from 1 species
UUGCAGAAAUUUUGUGGGUGCCCUCCUUGAUUACUGAGUUUAAAAGUGAAUUUCCAAACUCCUAUCACUUAUUGCCACAACCUAAGUAUCAUAUCCCUAUUACAUAAUGCAGUGCUUCAUAUUUAGGACCAAACAUAUGGAGCUCUAAAUCUUUGAUGAAGAGAAAGUAGUCAAUUAGGAAUCUCAUAGUACAUCAUGUCCCUGCUGCUGAUCAAAAUGUAGGCAUUCUCACUAAGCCCGUCUCCCAACUACAUUUUACUAAUCUGAGACUAACCCAUGGUGUUUGAUAAGUUUACACUUGAUCGACCACCUUGAGUUUGAGUUGAAAAAUGGAAAAUGGACAACCAAACAUUAGAAGCAUCCAAGAGCAAUGAUCAUCCCUUCAAAAAAAAAAACAAUGAAUCAUUGUGGUAUAAGGAAAUGGACGAAGAACCCUAAGUGCAAGUCAUGUAGCCCUUAAAAGUGUUGAAAAUGAAUGAAAAGAAUCAUAAAUAUGUUUGAAAUUAAAAGAGCAAAAUGACCUUAGAAUUUUCUAUGAUGGAGGAAAGAAGCGGUUGAGAUUGAAAGGUAGGGAGUAGAACUCUUCAUUCAUGUUAUAUGCUCUAAAGGUUUUAAACUUAGCUCAUCAUGGCAUUCCUCUAUCUUUGGCAUUGUCCUAAGAAAAGGGAAACACCAGUGACAAAGAGGUUCCUCAUUGAAUUCUUGUUGGUGUGAGUUGCAAAUAUUAUAGCCCUACAGAAGCUGAAAAAACAAAAACAACAAUUGUCGUAAUAAGAAAAGAAAGUGAGUGAGGAUAUCCACUACAGUUUACUAAUCUGAGACAGACUCAUUAGCUGCUUCUAUAUUAGACUCUUUUGAAUUCUGUUAUAGACUUGUAGCCAGUCAGUUCUUAAGGCAGCAUAUCAUGGUGUAUACCACUUCACAAAAAUCAUAGCGAAUAAUCCAAGUUAUGAUUUAAAAUUCGUAUGCAAAAGUGAAAGACAGCAACAGGCAGAAAAACCAUUUCCCAUGACCUAGCAUAAAAAGUAAUGGACCAACAGUUAAGCUUUCAAGUCAGUAACUCUCAACACCAUAAACAUUACCUCAGCUUUUCUCUGCAACUUAGCUUCACCUUCAGCCUUAAUACCAUCCAGCUCCAGCAAUUUCCUCAUAAGCAAACCAAUUCUU